rnacentral:rRNA from 1 species
CAAUAGCGUAUAUUAAAGUUGUUGCAGUUAAAAAGCUCGUAGUUGGAGUUCAGAGUGAGCUCAGCUGGUCGGCCUAAUGGGUCAGAACUGGUUGACUCUCUCUUGUUUGUGGGUCUCGCCCGGAGUUAACUCUUCGGAUGUGGAUCCCACAUCGUUUACCUUGAAAAAAUUAGAGUGUUCAAAGCAGGCGUUUGCUUGAAUAUAUUAGCAUGGAAUAAUGGAAUAGGACGCUGGUUCUAUUUUGUUGGUUUUGAGAACCAGAGUAAUGAUUAAUAGGGACAGUUGGGGGCAUUCAUAUUCCAAUGUCAGAGGUGAAAUUCUUGGAUUAUCGGAAGAUGAACUUCUGCGAAAGCAUCUGCCAAGGAUGUUUUCAUUGAUCAAGAACGAAAGUUAGGGGAUCGAAGACGAUCAGAUACCAU